UGCCCGAUGCCCGAUUAGAUGAACGCAGUUUCUUUACUUCCUAGGCCUAAGAUUGCUCUCCCCUCUUCCCGACGUGAGAAUCUCGGAGGACUCUGUUGGAGAGAGCACUGAUUGAUUUUCAGAAAGGGCGUUCUCCAAGGAAGCGCGGAACCCGAAUUGUGGGUCAGAGGCAGUGGUGAGGCUACAAGCAAUAGUCAGAGGGAGGGAAGUGAUUCUACAAGCAGCCAUAACACUAAGGGUGCAUGGACGUGUGAGGGCACUGAGAGGAUGUCUC